GCGAUGGGGGUCCUAAGCCACGGGAGGAAGAGGGACUGGCUCUCAGUCCCCGCCUCGCGGGGUGUGCCUCCCCCGUGUGAUGGGGAUCCUCAGAGAGACCGAGAGGUUGAUGUCACUCCCAAUAUCGGAGGAAGUAUACACCCCCGUGUGAGAUGGUCCUUAAUAAUAUUCCACGGCGGAGGGGGUGAUAUGACUACAUACAUGGCAGAAAGUGGAAACCUCCCAGGGAUAUUGUUCCCACGAUCCUGGAGGGAAGAAGAUGAUGUUACUUUCAAUAUGACAGAAGGUGGAUGAAGUGGUGGACUGCCCCUCCACACCUGUGGACACGCCCCCACUGAUAUUCCUUCUAAUUGCAGCGUGGGAGAGGAGGAUAUGACACGCGAUAUCGCAGGGAGUAGAAACACCCCUGUGAUACUGUUCUUAAUAUUCAGGGAGGAAGAGGAUGAUAUUACUCCCAAUACAGACGGGUGUACACCCUCUGUACACCGAGGGUGUACACCUGUCUGUGAAAGAAUGGACACGCCCCCACUGAUAUUGUUUUUAAUGCAGCGUGGGAGGGGAGGAUAUGACACGCGAUAUCGCAGCUGAGUGCCACGUGCUGACGUCACUAAGAUCAAUACAGCAAACUCUGAAAGAUGGACAGAGAGACAGGAGAUGGUCCUUUAUAAUGCAGUGUGAUCUGUGCUGCAAUAGAGUUUUGGAAGCUAGAAGUUCAAAACGAGGUGUUGGCAGCACCAUGCUCUCUCUGAAGAUGCUAGGAAGAAUCUGCUCCAUGCCUUUCCAUUCGCUCCUGGGGUUUCCUGCAAGCCCUGACAUUCCUUGGCUUGUAGAUGCAUCACCCCAGUUUCCGCCCCCAUCAUCACAUGGCCUCCUCUCUGUGUGUGCCUCUGCGUUCCCUCUAUUCUUCUUCUAAGGACACCGACACCAGUCAUAGUGGAUUAAGGGUCCACUCCUAACCAAUUACAUCUGCAACAACCCUAUUUCCAAAUAAAGUCACAUUCUAAGA
rnacentral:lncRNA from 1 species